rnacentral:miRNA from 1 species
AACUAUUGCCAAUUAACAACUAAUUUUUUCAGUAUAAGUAUAUCCCAUGCAAUAUUUGAGAUAUACUUAUACUAAAAAACUAAUUGUUGUUUUUCUAAAACCCAAAUUUAACU